GCUUACGGCCACACCGCCUGGUUCACGCCCCGAUCUCGUUUGAUCUCGGAAGCUAGGAUAGGUUGGGCCUGGUUGUACUUUGAUGAGAGACCUGGGAAUACCAGGUGCUGUAAGCU
rnacentral:rRNA from 1 species